ensembl:antisense BC051226 cDNA sequence BC051226
CCCCAAGCCAUCGCGUGGAGUCGCAUCGGGGAAGACCGGUCCCUCCACCCUAGGAGGAGCCGCGGAGAAAAGGAAGAGGGGGAAACCACUGUGAUGCCCGCCCGGCCCAGGGUGGGGAGGCAAGGUCCGCAGGUGUUGAUGAGGAAGCCUGAACGUCAACACUCUGCGCGGAGACUUCGGCUCUGCAGCCUUCCUUCCACGGUGGUGGGCAUCUUGCCAAUUUGCAGGACCAAGAAAGAAGCCCAGCUGCUCUCAGAGGACCCGAACUUCAAAUUUAAACCCACCUCCUCUCAUUGUGUCCGGCCUUCUGGGCUUACAGCAUUUCAAUAGGAGCGGGGUGGGGUGGGGUGGGGUGGGGUGGGGUAGCUCUCCAAUGGCUGACCCGACUCUUAAGAGAUGAUUUAAUUUUCUUAUCCUUGGGUUUCUCAAAAUGGGUUUCCCUGAAAUAAAGGUUCCCCCAUCUUUUCACAAU